CCUACGGGCGGCAGCAGUGAGGAAUAUUGGUCAAUGGCCGUAAGCCUGAACCAGCCAAGUAGCGUGAGGGAAGACUGCCCUAUGGGUUGUAAACCUCUUUUAUGCGGGGAUAAAGGUUUCCACGUGUGGCUUUUUGCAGGUACCUCAUGAGUAAGGACCGGCUAAUUCCGUGCCAGCAGCCGCGGUAAUACGGAAGGUCCGGGCGUUAUCCGGAUUUAUUGGGUUUAAAGGGAGCGUAGGCCGGUCUUUAAGCGUGCCGUGAAAUUUUGUGGCUCAACCAUGGGAGUGCGGCGCGAACUGGAGACCUUGAGUGCGCGGAAGGCAGGCGGAAUUCGUGGUGUAGCGGUGAAAUGCUUAGAGAUCACGAAGAACCCCGAUGGCGAAGGCAGCCUGCCGCAGCGUGACUGACGCUGAAGCUCGAAAGCGCGGGUAUCGAACAGGAUUAGAUACCCCAGUAGUC
rnacentral:rRNA from 1 species